GUGCCGGUCUCCCAGUGUUAUCGACAAGACCCACAUGCAUGGCGUUUAAUAUUAGCUGAUUUGUGUUUUCUAAGCAAAACUUACCGUAAUUGUCACAGUCCCUGAAAAAGAUAAUAUCCGGUCUACCCAUGGGAAGUAUAGCUGUAAAGAUGCAUCUUGUGCGUGAAGGUCGACAGCAGCGCCCUCCAAUGAUUGAAUGGGAAUAACAAAACACGUGUGGCUCUGGGUUCGGACUCCAGUGACCCUGCAUGAGGAUGUGCACAUGACUAUGAAGAACCAGGUCUAACGUCCACCCUCUACAACUGAAUCCUACUGAACAAAUGAAAAAUCCAGUUAACUCCUCCCCUCCUUUUUAGUUUCUUAAAGUUUCAACUUUUGAGUUUGGACGUUCUUGUGCAUAAGGAAAAAAUAGUGAUUUUCUAACAUAGUUUUUGAUUAGAAAACAUAUACCUUGUCAAAAGUGCGUUACUCAAAUUAGUAAAAAUUAUUUCAUAUUAAUAUAUUUGUACUAAUAUUUUUUGUUGUGACACAUAUUUCCCUUAA
rnacentral:lncRNA from 1 species